CCUUUGUUCGGGGCUCUUGUCGGAUUCCCUUGUGUGGGAUGAGACUUGGGCCCUAGCGCGCUAGAGAUAAACUCCCUUCUUGUCCUUGCAGUACCAUGGUGGACUUGCUCUCUCUCUCGGUCGGUUCGGAGAUACAGGCUCGGAGCAUAACAUCUGGGGGCUCGUCCGGGAUCUCUGUCCCACCGGGGAGGACAACUCUCCUGGUAGAAGGGAGUAACCUCAUUAGGAGAUAAGAGCUCUGAGCAGCGGUGCUAACGUUGCAGAAGCCCAGAUUAAGUCCGGGGCCCGGUAUCGUACUGGGGAGCAUCUGGCUGUAAAGUGCAGAGGCAAGUCAGCGUAAGGCCGGGGCCUGGUUUCGUGCUGGGGAGGCAGCUGGCUCUGGUUCCUGGAUUAAUCCAGCGUAAGGCCAGGGCCCAGUUUUGUUCUGGGGAGGCAGCUGGCUCUGUGAACAUCCUGCAGGUCCCACAGGUUUCAUCGGGAGAAGCCAGAAAGAAAACCAAGCCUUCAGCACCUCCCAGAAAAAGGGGCCCCGCCUAGGAAACUCAGGGAAAGGCAAAAAAAAAAAAAAAAAAUGGCCGGCGUAGCUGAAGAAGACCCAGAGGUUCCCUCCCCCACCAUUCAUGCGUUUCCGGUCUGGGCGGGGCCAGCCAGAGAGGGUGGAGAACGGACAUAUCAGUAUUGGCCCUUCUCCACUAGUGAUUUGUACAAUUAAAAAACCCAGACUCCCUCCUUCUCUGAAAAACCGCAGGGUCUUAUUGAUCUUUUAGAGUCUAUCCUGUUUACUCACAAUCCCACUUGGGAUGAUUGUCAGCAACUGUUACAGGUACUUUUUACUACAGAGAAGCGUGAACGGAUCCUGUCAGAAGCCCAGUAAAAUGUGCCAGGGGUGGAUGGGAGGCCCACAAUACAGCCUAACCUCAUUGAGGAGGGAUUCCCCUUGGUGCGACCCAACUGGGACUUCGAACGUGCUGAAGGUAAGGAGCGUCUCCAAGUGUACCAUCAGACUCUCAUGGCUGGCCUUAGAGCAGCCGCCAAAAGCCAACUAAUUGGGCCAAAAUAAAUUCAGUGAGACAAGAGCCAAAUGAGAGCCCAGCAG
ensembl:lncRNA